rnacentral:sRNA from 1 species
UGAAUAGCUAGACUAUUUCUGAGGUAGC